AUGGCCCCUUUCAGUGCCUGUCUGGGACCAUUACCACACAUUCCAAGUUGCCUCUUCAAGUCUUUCUGGUGCCCAUCUAUUGUUGCCUUUCUUCCCAUGAAUCGGAAGCAAAAAGAUUACAUUCACAAAAGGCCUUCGGUUCCUUAUGAAUUUUCUUGUAACAUGUUUUCCCCAGUUAGCUGUGUCUCGGUUCAUCUUUUUAUGGUCUUGCUUACUUCUUACUUCCAGUUCAGGGAAGAUGCCUUUCGGAUGUGCUCCCGUCUCCAGACAGCUACUUUCCUUGCAGACCAGCAUUUCUGUACCUUAAUUAUCCCUGGCAACAUGCCAAGCCAUAAAUUACUUCCACAAUCAAGAUCUCUGUGUCAUAUUCCUAACAGGGAACCAUUUGGGGAAUUAAGCAAAUAAAAAUCUCAACUCUUUUCCAUAAACAUCGGUAAAAAAGCUUUAGCCACGUAAGCAGGUAACCUUAACUUGUCCCAUCUUUGUCAGAAACACAAUUCAGAUAACGAUAUAAAUUGGAAAUAAGUCAGUAAGUUUGUAUUACUGUGUUUUACUGACUUGUGACUGUUAGAAUGAAAGCUCUAUUUGUAUGUAUAUUUGUGUGACACGGUAAAAAGCCCCACAAAGCUGCAUACCUCAAGCAUACCUCAGCUUCUGUUGAAACUGCUCUCUAUAAUCCAAAUGCGAAUAAGUAAUUAAGGACUGUCAUUGCCACUCUACCCAGACAAUGUGUAAAGAAAUGCUAAUCUUGACUUUUGUGAACCAAAAGUUCACAAUCAGAAUGUCAAAAGUCCCCUGGCCCUUGGAGAGUCCGGAGCCCCUUACCCUCAUCUCCGCCCAGGAGGUGAUUUACGGAAUCCACUAGCCCUCGGAAUGUCUGGAGCCCCUCACCCACACCCCGACCCCUCACCCUCACUCCCAAGGUGAUUUUUACGGGUAUAAAAGGUCUUGAUACCCACCUUUCGGGGCCACAGGUUGGAGAGACUCGAGUCCUCUGUGGCCGCCGGCAAUAAAGACCCUGCAAUUUGGCAUCCUUCUGUCUUGGUGUUGACUUCCUAUGCUCACUCCACUACAACAUCUGUAUAUUAUGUGUGUGUAGUAUGUUUCCACCUCCAGAUAGCAUUUUUAAUUUAUCAAACCAUUAAAGGAGCUCUAUUCAAAUUGACCUACAGAUAAAUGAGUGCUCAUAUAAAUUAGACAUUCCUAAAAUUCUCAGACAUGUAGACUCUAGCCCAAAUUAAAAAAAAAAAAAAAUCACAUGACUUGUCUAAGUCCUUGGUAACUAAAGCUAGCUUUUUAAAUUAUUAGUAAAAUAAAAACAGGCAUGUCUUCAGAAUUUUAAGCAUGAAAUACUGAUACACAUUUUUUUCUCCAGAGUUUGCUGGCCACACAGAUUUGUGUUGUCUCUGCUUGAUGUUUAAAAAUAUAAAAUUAAAAACCCAAUCUAAUAGCAGAAUACACAGUAAAACUAAAUUGCCUGACACAUGUCAUUGAUGAAAGUAAGAAGACAGAGUGAGGGAGAGGGAAUGAAUCACAGUUAACUUUUUUGCCUCUGUGAUACUUUUUAUGCCCGAUUCCUCAACAGAAGUGAAGUAACCGAAGAUGAUGGCUAACUUUGUUUAUGGUCUCAUAAAAAAUGCUCAUGAGCCAACCACGAAUAAUUGUUAAAAACAAGUGAAUUAAAUAAUGUGUAAGUGACCUAAAAGUAUAUAAACUUUUCGAUAAUCAUUACAUUUUAUAAAACACGUCUACUUAAAAAAAUAGUUUCGAAAAAAUUUUUUGGUAACUUGCAACCUUAAAGCUAUACUAAAUUAAGUAAUAAAUACUCAUUAAAUAUCGGAGUCAUUUUUAAGUAACUAAAAACAUUAAUUACUAGCAUAAAUUUAAGUUGAUAUACACUGGCAUUUUUUUUAUAAGGUAUAGAGAAGCCAAAAUUUCGAUCUGUUAAUGAAUAUGAAAAAGUGGAGAGGGACUUUUUUCAAGAAAUUAUGGCUUCAAUCUAUGGAAUGUGAUAAACUACAAUUGCUUAAAAGUUAAAAAUCCUAAUAUAUGUAAUUAAAACUACCAGAAAUAAGGGGAAAAAAUCGUGUAUGCAAAAUAUAUAAGGAAAGUAAGAUGUGUUUUUAGUAAGGAAAAUUCUAAGGCAUUAAGAUGUAUUUACUGUUAAUGGGGAAAGUGGUUAAUUCUCUACUAAACUAUAAUGAGCAGUUGUUCCAGAGUAAGAAACAAAUAUAUAGGAAGAUAAAGAUAGGUUUUUAAGACCACACCAUCGGAUGGGGUGUGCAUUCCUAGAACUCUAAGGAAGAGACGGCCGGGUUUAUGAAACUGUUAAGCAAGGUCAAGGGGACUAUUAAUUACAUGAGAGUAAAUGAAGGGGAUCAUUUUUAUGGCUGUUAUUUGUAACAUUGCUUCUUUAAAUCUUUUGUUUUCCAGAUUUAAACAAACUUUUCUUCUAAGCUACCUGUAGCUUACAGCAAUUUAGUAUAUUUUUGUUAACAAAAUUAAAACGCUUUCUUCCUCCCUGAUCCCUCUGGAAUUUAUAAACUACGAGUACUGUUAUUUCUAUGACAGUGAGAGUUACUUGCAUAAGCUCAGUAAGAAUAAAUUCUUCUUGAAAUAGGACGAAAUUGGAAACACCGAUUAUGUGACCAAGACUUUGACUGGAAUGUCAUAUUUCCAGACAUGACCAGUUUUAAGAAACUAAGGUGGACUUUAUGGAGCCAAUAAAGCCCCUAUUGGAAAAACUGGCUGGGCUUAAAAGAGUUUCUAACCUUACAAGUGAGUAAGUAAUGUCACUUUCUGGCAGGCCCAGGAACUGCAGAAUAUUUUGGGGAUCCUGAGAAGAAAGGAAUUCACCCAAAUCUAUAGGUAUAGCAGGCAAAGUAUGAUGGCAAGUUAUUGGCUUGGCUUCUGGCCUCAAGAGGCUUUUAAAAAAUCUAAUCUGGGCUGGGCGAAGUGGCUCACGCCUGUAAUCCCAGCACUUUGGGAGGCCGAGGUGGGUGGAUCACGAGGUCAAGAGAUCGAGACCAUCCUGGUCAAUAUGGUGAAACCCCGUCUCUACUAAAAAUACAAAAAAAAAAAAAAAAAAAAAAAUUAGCUGGGCAUGGUGGCACAUGCCUGUAAUCCCAGCUACUUAGGAGGCUGAGGCAGGAGAAUUGCCUGAACCCAGGAGGCGGAGGUUGCGGUGAGCCGAGAUCACGCCAUUGCACUCCAGCCUGGUUAACAAGAGCGAAACUCCAUCUCAAAAAAAAAAAAUCGAAUCUGAGGUUCCUUAUCAAAGGUUCUAGCAAAGCAAAUUUUAAAAGAGCCUAUAUAGCCAAUCACAAUCUUGUGGCACUAGAGUAAAUAAUCAUUAUUUCUGCAAACAUUAUUUUACAAACAAAUUAGUCUUACUUUAUCUUUGGUAGAAAUGGAAAUGGCCAUAGAAAGAAUAAUUACAUUUCAGAAGAAAACUGUGCACUCAUUAUUAGAUCCCAGCUCAUUGUUUUUUGAGGUUUUUGUUAUUUACCUACAAUCUAGACUGGAUCCUGAAUUCUUCCCGUUUCCAGCAACGCCUGGCUACAGCUCUCCAAACUAGUAUUUUUCUCCCACCUUCUGGCUUGGAGUUACUGAAAUUAGAACUGCCCUGUCCCUGAGGCCCUGCAAACGAAAGCUAGAUGACCUGACACAAACUGUAGAGAAAGCACAGUAGCUUAUGCGUGCAUGGUCCUCACACUUGCUGCUAUAUGGACGGCUCAGAAACUUUUUUGGCACAGCUGAUACAAAUUGUAAACCACGGAAAUCUGUCAAGCCGCCACUGCCUGCUCCCACUCCAACUGAAGAGGCUUUCAGCCCAGACUCUAGAAAUCUCAACCGGCUGCCUUCUGAGCUCCAAAACCAAGUUUACAGUUUGUUCUCUUAACGUUUUUCUGUUUUUUUUUUUUUGAGACGGAGUUUUGCUCUUGUUGCCCACGCUGGAGUGCAAUGGCGUGAUCUCGGCUCACCACAACCUCCGCCUUUUGGGUUCAAGCAAUUCUCCUGCCUCAGUCUCCCGAGUAGCUGGGAUUACAGGCACGUGCCACCGUGCCCAGCUAAUUUUUGUAUUUUUAGUAGAGACGGGGUUUCACACCAUGUUGACCAGGAUGGUCUUGAUCUCUCGACCUCGUGAUCCACCUGCCUCAGCCUCCCAAAGUGUUGGAAUUAUAGGUGUGAGCCACCGUGCCCGGCCCUCUUUUCUUUUGCUUUCAUACAAGUGGAUUAUAAAUCAUUCUACUAUAAAGACACAUGACAUGUAUGUUCACUGCAGCACUGUUCACAAUAGCAAAGACCUGGAACCAACCCAAAUGCCCAUCAAUGAUAGACUGGACAAAGAAAAUGUGGCGCAUAUACACCAUGGAAUACUAUGCAGCCAUAAAAAAAAAACAAUGAGUUUGUGUCCUUUGUAGAGACAUGGAUGAAUCUGGAAAGCAGCAUUCUCAGCAAACUGACACAAGAAUAGAAAACCAAACACCGCAUGUUCUCACUCAUAGGCGGGUGAACAAUGAGAACACAUGGGUACAGGGAGGGGAGCAUCACACACUGGGGUAGGUUGCGGGGUGGGGGCUAGGGGAGGGACAGUAGGGGAAGGGAGGCCGGGGAGGAAGAACACUGGGAGAAUUGCCUGGUGUCGGCGACAGGGGAUGGAGACUGCAAGCCACUACAGCAACAACCCUGAGGGCUGAGCACAUGUGCCCCAGAGCUAAAGUCCAAUUGGAAAAAGGAAAAAAAACAGAAAUGCCUGUCAUUCAAUUCCUGAUUACUCACAGCAGACAGAGGUCUCACUUUGGUGGAAGCCCCUCUGUGACACUGCUGCCUGAAAUGAGACACAACCAUUGACUGUCUAACUACAUUGAUUCUUGGAACUCAAAGACAGGUUCAGUAGUGGAGACUCUCCACCAACCCAGCUUCUAGUUAAGCUCGUCAUGGAGGGGAAAUGCAAG
ensembl:lncRNA